AGCAGCCGCGGUAAUUCCAGCUCCAAUAGCGUAUAUUAAAGUUGUUGCAGUUAAAAGCCCGUAGUUGAACUUCGGGGUUUACCCAUUGGUCAGGCUUAAUUGUCUGUACUGGUGAGAUAAAUCUCUACCUUCUGAGGAACUUUCAUGUCAUUAAUUUGGUGUGAUUGGAAAUCAGGACUGUUACUUUGAAAAAAUUAGAGUGUUUAAAGCAGGCUAACGUCUGAAUACAUUAGCAUGGAAUAAUGAAAUAGGACGGACUGACUCUAUUUCGUUGGUUUCUAGGAUCACCGUAAUGAUUAAUAGGGAUAGUUGGGGGCAUUAGUAUUCAAUUGUCANAGGUGAAAUUCUUGGAUUUAUUGAAGACUAACUACUGCGAAAGCAUUUUGCCAAGGAUGUUUUUCAUUAAUCAAGAACGAAAGUUAGGGGAUCGAAGACGAUCAGAUACCGUCGUAGUCUUAACCAUAAACUAUGCCGACUAGGGAUCGGACGAAGUUAAUUUUAUAAUGACGCGUUCGGCACC
rnacentral:rRNA from 1 species